CGGUUGAUCCUGCCGGAGGUUACUGCUAUCGGAGUUCGAGUAAGCCAUGCGAGUCUAAAGGUUUCUUCGGAAACCUUGGCGGACUGCUCAGUAACACGUGGAUAACCUACCCUUAGGACUGGAAUAACCCCGGGAAACUGGGGAUAAUACCGGAUAGAUCAGGGAUGCUGGAAUGCACCUUGAUCUAAAGCCCCGGCGCCUAAGGAUGGGUCUGCGGCCUAUCAGGUUGUAGUGGGUGUAACGUACCUACUAGCCGACGACGGGUACGGGUUGUGAGAGCAAGAGCCCGGAGAUGGAUUCUGAGACACGAAUCCAGGCCCUACGGGGUGCAGCAGGCGCGGAACCUUUACAAUGUGCGAAAGCAUGAUAAGGGGACUCCGAGUGCCAGCAUCUAAUGCUGGCUGUCCUUGUGCCUAAAAAGCACAAGAUAGCAAGGGCCGGGUAAGACCGGUGCCAGCCGCCGCGGUAACACCGGCGGCCCGAGUGGUAGCCGCUAUUAUUGGGUCUAAAGGGUCCGUAGCCGGUUCGAUAAGUCCUCUGGGAAAUCUGGUUGCUUAACAAUCAGACUGCCAAGGGAUACUGUCGAACUUGAGACCGGGAGAGGUAAGAGGUACUUCAGGGGUAGGAGUGAAAUCUUGUAAUCCCUGGGGGACCAUCUGUGGCGAAGGCGUCUUACCAGAACGGGUCUGACGGUGAGGGACGAAAGCUGGGGGCGCAAACCGGAUUAGAUACCCGGGUAGUCCCAGCCGUAAACGAUGCUCGCUAUGUGUC
rnacentral:rRNA from 1 species